UUCAUUGUUUCUCCUAACUUUAAGUAUUUGGAGUUUAGGUACUUGGCAGAGGAGAUUGAGGAGCAUGGAGAUAAUAAUAUUGGUUUCAUGUGUCCAAUUAUGAUUUCAACGACCAUGAUACACAAUCAACGAGAUGUCGUGAUUAACUACAUCGCAAGUUCAAUGAAAGCGAAUCGACAUAUGUGUUACAUCCUAUAUCCGUAUAUUCAUAAUGUGCUCAAUAAUCGGGAGGAGAUGAACACGGUUAUUUUCGUGAUGAGAUAAAUGCUUCAAAUCAUCCGCUUCCACUAUGAUUCAAAUAAUUUGUAUGAGGCUUUUCCACCAAGUCUUGAUCCAUACUCCAUAACUGAGAUCAACGACCACAAAGUACUUUAUGCGCAAUACUUUAUACGAGUCAUCGAAGAGGCAGCAACGAACGAGUAAGUGUAUCUAUUUACAGUGAUCAACAAAGCAACCAGUAGAGGG